rnacentral:rRNA from 1 species
UUCGUAGGUGGCCAACUAAGUCAGACGUGAAAUCCCUCAGCUUAACUGGGGAACUGCGUCUGAUACUGGUUGGCUUGAGUGCAGGAGAGGAACGCGGAAUUCCAGGUGUAGCGGUGAAAUGCGUAGAUAUCUGGAGGAACACCGGUGGCGAAGGCGGCGUUCUGGACUGCAACUGACACUGAGGAACGAAAGCCAGGUAGCAAACG